GACGAACGCUGGCGGCGUGCUUAACACAUGCAAGUCGAACGGAAAGGCCCUGCUUUUGUGGGGUGCUCGAGUGGCGAACGGGUGAGAAACACGUGAGUAACCUGCCCUUGACUUUGGGAUAACUUCAGGAAACUGGGGCUAAUACCGGAUAGGAGCUCCUGCUGCAUGGUGGGGGUUGGAAAGUUUCGGCGGUUGGGGAUGGACUCGCGGCUUAUCAGCUUGUUGGUGGGGUAGUGGCUUACCAAGGCUUUGACGGGUAGCCGGCCUGAGAGGGUGACCGGCCACAUUGGGACUGAGAUACGGCCCAGACUCCUACGGGAGGCAGCAGUGGGGAAUAUUGCACAAUGGGCGGAAGCCUGAUGCAGCAACGCCGCGUGCGGGAUGACGGCCUUCGGGUUGUAAACCGCUUUCGCCUGUGACGAAGCGUGAGUGACGGUAAUGGGUAAAGAAGCACCAGCUAACUACGUG
rnacentral:rRNA from 1 species